rnacentral:rRNA from 1 species
AGAGUUUAUCCUGGCUCAGAACGAACGCUGGCGGAAGGCUUAAUACAUGCAAGUCGAACGGAUGUAGCAAUACAGCAGUGGCAGACGGGUGAGUAA